rnacentral:lncRNA from 1 species
ACACUGAUGCUCCAGCAGUGAGGAAAGGAAGGGUUGGAAGCAGGGAGUAUAAAAGAACUGGGGUGACACUUGGGGGAAGGUAGCAAGUGGAGAUGAGGAAGAGGCAGCAUUUAUGUCAGGGAAAGCAGAGCAAACAGAAGAAAGUACGCUGAGCGAAAGUCACCUUUUGAAAGGAGGGGGUAACAGUCCUAUGGCUUCAAGAAAAGGACUCCAAAAGGACUCAUUAACUUUUGCACUUCCAGUGCAAGCCCUUCUAACAAGCAAUGAUCAAGCAAUGUUUUAGGGAACACUCAGCUGUGGUCUACGCACCAGUCAGUCCAGAUGGUCAACUUUUCUGAUGCCAUUCAGUGGCUUUGAUAUAAGUCUGAAAGAUCUACACUUCUCCCUUCAACAAAGCUAGGGGCACAGGAC